rnacentral:rRNA from 2 species
AGGAGUGGAGCCUGCGGCUUAAUUUGACUCAACACGGGAAACCUCACCAGGCCCGGACACCGGAAGGAUUGACAGAUUGAGAGCUCUUUCUUGAUUCGGUGGGUGGUGGUGCAUGGCCGUUCUUAGUUGGUGGAGCGAUUUGUCUGGUUAAUUCCGAUAACGAACGAGACUCUAGCCUGCUAACUAGGCGUAUUUCGACAUCCCAAAGGCCCGCCGGUUUGGGGUUUCGACUCCUAUCCGCGCGCGGUUUUUACUGUCGGCGUACAAACAAUUCUUCUUAGAGGGACAGGCGGCUUCUAGCCGCACGAGAUUGAGCAAUAACAGGUCUGUGAUGCCCUUAGAUGUUCUGGGCCG